rnacentral:rRNA from 1 species
GAUGAACGCUAGCUACAGGCUUAACACAUGCAAGUCGAGGGGAAACGGCAUUGAGUGCUUGCACUCUUUGGACGUCGACCGGCGCACGGGUGAGUAACGCGUAUCCAACCUUCCCAUUACUGUGGGAUAACCUGCCGAAAGGCAGACUAAUACCGCAUAGUCUUCGAUGACGGCAUCAGAUUUGAAGUAAAGAUUUAUCGGUAAUGGAUGGGGAUGCGUCUGAUUAGCUUGUUGGCGGGGUAACGGCCCACCAAGGCAACGAUCAGUAGGGGUUCUGAGAGGAAGGUCCCCCACAUUGGAACUGAGACACGGUCCAAACUCCUACGGGAGGCAGCAGUGAGGAAUAUUGGUCAAUGGAUGGAAGUCUGAACCAGCCAAGUAGUGUGCAGGAUGACGGCCCUAUGGGUUGUAAACUGCUUUUGUAUGGGGAUAAAGUUAGGGACGUGUCCCUAUUUGCAGGUACCAUACGAAUAAGGACCGGCUAAUUCCGUGCCAGCAGCCGCGGUAAUACGGAAGGUCCAGGCGUUAUCCGGAUUUAUUGGGUUUAAAGGGAGCGUAGGCUGGAGAUUAAGUGUGUUGUGAAAUGUAGACGCUCAACGUCUGAAUUGCAGCGCAUACUGGUUUCCUUGAGUACGCACAACGUUGGCGGAAUUCGUCGUGUAGCGGUGAAAUGCUUAGAUAUGACGAAGAACUCCGAUUGCGAAGGCAGCUGACGGGAGCGCAACUGACGCUUAAGCUCGAAGGUGCGGGUAUCAAACAGG